UACAGAGGGGCAAGCGUUGUUCGGAAUUACUGGGCGUAAAGGGCGCGUAGGCGGCCCGCUAAGUCGAACGUGAAAUCCCCGAGCUCAACUCGGGAACUGCGUCCGAUACUGGCGGGCUUGAAUCCGGGAGAGGGAUGCGGAAUUCCAGGUGUAGCGGUGAAAUGCGUAGAUAUCUGGAGGAACACCGGUGGCGAAGGCGGCAUCCUGGACCGGCAUUGACGCUGAGGCGCGAAAGCUAGGGGAGCAAACGGGG
rnacentral:rRNA from 1 species